CCCUUAGAUGUUCUGGGCUGUACGCGUGCUACACUGAUUACUUCAACAAGUGUUUUAACUGGAGAGUUUGCGUAAUCCUGAAAUGUUAUCGUGAUGGGAGUAGAGUAUUGUAUUUGUUAAUCUUUAACGAGGAAUUCCUAGUAAGUGUAGGUUUAUAAGUUGUUCUGAUUACGUCCCUGCCCUUUGUACACACCGCCCGUCGCUCCUACCGAUUGAUUGAUCCGGUGAAUUACAUAGAAUUUUGCGUUUUACAUGACGGAAGAUGAAGUGUUUUAAACCUUAUCAUUUAGAGGAAGGAGAAGUCGUAACA
rnacentral:rRNA from 1 species